rnacentral:rRNA from 1 species
CAUGACUGUAGCAAUACAGUUGAUGGCGACCGGCAAACGGGUGCGGAACACGUACACAACCUUCCUUUUAGUGGAGAAUAGCCCAGGGAAACUUGGAUUAAUACUCCGUAACAUAUAGAAGUGGCAUCACUUUUAUAUUAUAGCAGCAAUGCGCUAGAAGAUGGGUGUGCGGCUGAUUAGAUAGUUGGCGGGGUAACGGCCCACCAAGUCGACGAUCAGUAACUGGUGUGAGAGCACGACCAGUCACACGGGCACUGAGACACGGGCCCGACUCCUACGGGAGGCAGCAGUAAGGAAUAUUGGUCAAUGGACGCAAGUCUGAACCAGCCAUGCCGCGUGGAGGAUGAAGGUCCUCUGGAUUGUAAACUUCUUUUAUUUGGGAAGAAACCCAUCUUUUCUAAGAUGGUUGACGGUACCAGAUGAAUAAGCACCGGCUAACUCCGUGCCAGCAGCCGCGGUAAUACGGAGGGUGCAAGCGUUAUCCGGAUUCACUGGGUUUAAAGGGUGCGUAGGUGGGCAAGUAAGUCAGUGGUGAAAUCUCCGGGCUUAACCCGGAAACUGCCAUUGAUACUAUUUGUCUUGAAUACUGUGGAGGUCAGCGGAAUAUGUCAUGUAGCGGUGAAAUGCUUAGAUAUGACAUAGAACACCAAUUGCGAAGGCAGCUGGCUACACAAAUAUUGACACUGAGGCACGAAAGCGUGGGGAUCAAACAGGAUUAGAUACCCUGGUAGUCCACGCCCUAAACUAUGGAUACUCGACAUUUGCGAUAAACUGCAAGUGUCUGAGCGAAAGCAUUAAGUAUCCCACCUGGGAAGUACGAUCGCAAGAUUG